rnacentral:rRNA from 1 species
UACAGAGGGUGCAAGCGUUAAUCGGAUUUACUGGGCGUAAAGCGUGCGUAGGCGGUUCAUUAAGUCGGUUGUGAAAUCCCUGGGCUUAACCUGGGAACUGCAGUCGAUACUGGUGGACUAGAGUACGGUAGAGGGUGGCGGAACUCGGGUGUAGCGGUGAAAUGCGUAGAUAUCCGGAAGAACACCGAUGGCGAAGGCAACCACCUGGGCCUGUACGUGAC